AUUGAACGCUGGCGGCAUGCCUAACACACGCUUGUCGAGCGGCAGCGCGGGGGCAACCCUGGCGGCGAGCGGCGGACGGGUGAGUAAGGCAUCGGAAUCUGCCCUGAUGUGGGGGAUAACGUAGGGAAACUUACGCUAAUACCGCAUACGACCGAGAGGUGAAAGCGGGGGACCGAAAGGCCUCGCGCAGCAGGAUGAGCCGAUGUCCGAUUAGCUGGUUGGUGGGGUAAAGGCCUACCAAGGCGACGAUCGGUAGCUGGUCUGAGAGGAUGAUCAGCCACACUGGGACUGAGACACGGCCCAGACUCCUACGGGAGGCAGCAGUGGGGAAUAUUGGACAAUGGGGGCAACCCUGAUCCAGCAAUGCCGCGUGUGUGAAGAAGGCCUUCGGGUUGUAAAGCACUUUUAUCGGGAGCGAAACGCGCCGGGCCAAUACCCUGGCGAACUGACGGUACCCGAGGAAUAAGCACCGGCUAACUCCGUGCCAGCAGCCGCGGUAAUACGGAGGGUGCAAGCGUUAAUCGGAAUUACUGGGCGUAAAGCGUGCGUAGGCGGUAAGUUAAGUCUGCUGUGAAAUCCCUGGGCUCAACCUGGGAAUGGCGGUGGAUACUGGCUUGCUGGAGUACGGCAGAGGAAGGCGGAAUGCGCGGUGUAGCGGUGAAAUGCAUAGAUAUCGCGCAGAACGCCAAUAGCGUAGGCAGCUUGCCAGGCCCCAACUGACGCUGAGGCACGAAAGCGUGGGGAUCAAACAGGAUUAGAUACCCUGGUAGUCCACGCCGUAAACGAUGAUAGCUCGCUGUUGGCGAUACACGGCCAGCGGCUCAGCGAAAGCGGUAAGCUAUCCACCUGGGGAGUACGGCCGCAAGGCUGAAACUCAAAGGAAUUGACGGGGGCCCGCACAAGCGGAGGAACAUGUGGUUUAAUUCGAUGAUACGCGAGGAACCUUACCCGGGCUAGAACGCCGAACGAGUGCGGGGGAAACCCCGCAGCCAGCAAUGGCGGUCGGCGAGGUGCUGCAUGGUUGUCGUCAGCUCGUGCCGUGAGGUGUCGGCUUAAGUGCCAUAACGAGCGCAACCCCUAUCGGUAGUUGCCAGCGGGUCAGGCCGGGGACUCUACCGAAACUGCCGGCGUAAGCUGCGAGGAAGGCGGGGAUGACGUCAAAUCAGCACGGCCCUUACGUCCAGGGCUACACACGUGCUACAAUGGCCAGUACAAAGGGCAGCUACCAGGUGACUGGAUGCUAAUCUCAAAAGCUGGUCUCAGUUCGGAUCGAAGUCUGCAACCCGACUUCGUGAAGCUGGAAUCGCUAGUAAUCGCGCAUCAGCCAUGGCGCGGUGAAUACGUUCCCGGGCCUUGUACACACCGCCCGUCAAGCCAUGGAAGCUGGGGGUACCUGAAGUCGGUGACCGUAAGGAGCGGCCUAGGGUAAAACUGGUAACU
rnacentral:rRNA from 1 species